rnacentral:rRNA from 1 species
AGUGAGCGCUGGCGGUAGGCCUAACACAUGCAAGUCGAACGGCAGCACAGUAAGAGCCUGCUCUUACGGGUGGCGAGUGGCGGACGGGUGAGGAAUACAUCGGAAUCUACUUUUUCGUGGGGGAUAACGUAGGGAAACUUACGCUAAUACCGCAUACGACCUACGGGUGAAAGCAGGGGAUCUUCGUACCUUGCGCGAUUGAAUGAGCCGAUGUCGGAUUAGCUAGUUGGCGGGGUAAAGGCCCUCCAAGGCGACGAUCCGUAGCUGGUCUGAGAGGAUGAUCAGCCACACUGGAACUGAGACACGGUCCAGACUCCUACGGGAGGCAGCAGUGGGGAAUAUUGGACAAUGGGCGCAAGCCUGAUCCAGCCAUACCGCGUGGGUGAAGAAGGCCUUCGGGUUGUAAAGCCCUUUUGUUGGGAAAGAAAAGCAGCAGGUUAAUACCCCGCUGUUCUGACGGUACCCAAAGAAUAAGCACCGGCUAACUUCGUG